rnacentral:tRNA from 1 species
GCUGGAGUGGCUCAAUUGGCAGAGCAGCCGCCUUGUAAGCGGCAGGUUGUGGGUUCGAGUCCCAUCUCCAGCU